rnacentral:lncRNA from 1 species
GGGGACUGAGGGCUCCCAGGGUCCUGAUCCUGUCCCCUGCAGGGGAGAGGCCCCUCGCCUACAGAUUGGGAGCCCUGCAUCCACAGCUUCAGCGCGGUGGCCCGUCCUACUCCCAGGGAUGUGUGUGGCCACAGCCACGCUGGGAGAUGCUCUCAGGUGUUGUCUAAGGGAAGACGUGGGCCUGGAGGUCAGGAGACCCAGGCUGAACCCCUGACGCCCCUGCCCGGACCACAGCCCUCUCUCCCUGUGAAGGUCCCUGGUCCCUGGGGCCACCACUUUCCACCCCAGAGGGAGGCCCCUGCGAUUGAUUGGUUGGCUGAGUGACUGAAGCGGGGGACGGUUUAGGGGAGCAUUUGCACAGCUGGCCAGGCUGUGACUGUGGGGGCCUCUGCCCACCCCCAUCCAGCCCCACCUUGGACGAAGACG